CCUACGGGAGGCAGCAGUGAGGAAUAUUGGUCAAUGGACGCAAGUCUGAACCAGCCAAGUAGCGUGCAGGAUGACGGCCCUCCGGGUUGUAAACUGCUUUUAGUUGGGAAUAAAAGGGGGCUCGUGAGCCCCGUAUUGUAUGUACCAUCAGAAAAAGGACCGGCUAAUUCCGUGCCAUCAGCCGCGGUAAUACGGAAGGUCCGGGCGUUAUCCGGAUUUAUUGGGUUUAAAGGGAGCGUAGGCCGGCUUUUAAGUCAGCUGUGAAAGUCCGCGGCUCAACCGUGGAAUUGCAGUUGAAACUGGAGGCCGUGAGUGCAGACAGGGAUGCCGGAAUUCAUGGUGUAGCGGUGAAAUGCUUAGAUAUCAUGAAGAACUCCGAUCGCGAAGGCAAGUGUCCGGGGUGCAACUGACGCUGAGGCUCGAAAGUGCGGGUAUCAAACAGGAUUAGAUACCCGAGUAGUC
rnacentral:rRNA from 1 species